AGAAUCAACGCUGGCGGCGUGCCUAACACAUGCAAGUCGCACGAGAAAGUGGAGCAAUCCAUAAGUACAGUGGCGCACGGGUGAGUAACACGUGAAUUAUCUACCUCCGAGUGGGGAAUAACUGAGAGAAAUCUUAGCUAAUACCGCAUAACACUUACGAGUCAAAGCAGCAAUGCGCUUGGAGAGGAGUUCGCGGCCGAUUAGUUAGUUGGCGGGGUAAUGGCCCACCAAGACGAUGAUCGGUA
rnacentral:rRNA from 1 species